rnacentral:rRNA from 1 species
GGCCACUGCUAUCGGAAUCCGACUAAGCCAUGCGAGUCGAUCGGGUUAAGACCCGAGGCGAACGGCUCAGUAACACGUGGAUAACCUACCCUUAGGUGGGGGAUAACCUCGGGAAACUGAGGAUAAUACCCCAUAGAUCCAGGAGGCUGGAAUGCACCUGGAUCGAAAGCUCCGGCGCCUAAGGAUGGGUCUGCGGCCUAUCAGGUCGUAGUCAGGGUAACGACCUGACUAGCCUACGACGGGUACGGGUUGUGAGAGCAAUAGCCCGGAGAUGGACUCUGAGACACGAGUCCAGGCCCUACGGGGCGCAGCAGGCGCGAAACCUCCGCAAUGCGCGAAAGCGCGACGGGGGGAUUCCGAGUGCUGGCUCGUGAGAGUCAGCUGUUCUCGAGUCUAAAAAGCUCGAGGAGAAAGGGCUGGGUAAGACGGGUGCCAGCCGCCGCGGUAAUACCCGCAGCUCAAGUGGUGGCCACUAUUAUUGGGCCUAAAACGUCCGUAGCCGGUCUGGUAAAUGCUUGGGUAAAUCGUGAGGCUUAACCUUACGAAUUCCAGGUAGACUGCCAGACUAGGGACCGGGAGAGGCUAGAGGUACUCCAGGGGUAGGGGUGAAAUCCUGUAAUCCCUGGGGGACCACCUGUGGCGAAGGCGUCUAGCCAGAACGGGUCCGACGGUGAGGGACGAAGCCCUGGGGCGCAAACCGGAUUAGAUACCCGGGUAGUCCAGGGUGUAAACGCUGCUCGCUUGAUGUUAGGUGGGCUCCGUGCCUACCUAGUGUCUGAGAGAAGUUGUUAAGCGAGCUGCCUGGGGAGUACGGCCGCAAGGCUGAAACUUAAAGGAAUUGGCGGGGGAGCACAGCAACGGGUGGAGCGUGCGGUUU